CACGUAGGGUGCAAGCGUUGUCCGGAAUCAUUGGGCGUAAAGAGCUCGUAGGCGGCUUAGUAAGUCGGGCGUGAAAACUCUAGGCUCAACCUAGAGACGCCACCCGAUACUGCUAUAGCUAGAAUCCAGUAGGGGAGUGUGGAAUUCCCAGUGUAGCGGUGAAAUGCGCAGAUAUUGGGAGGAACACCAGCGGCGAAGGCGGCACUCUGGGCUGGUAUUGACGCUGAGGAGCGAAAGCAUGGGGAGCGAACAGG
rnacentral:rRNA from 1 species